GGGGAUUUAGCUCAGUGGUAGAGCGCUUGCCUAGCAAGCGUAAGGUCCUGGGUUCGGUCCCCAGCUCCG
rnacentral:tRNA from 1 species